rnacentral:lncRNA from 1 species
AUAUUAGUUUUUUAAGAUCUAAUUUUACCAAGAGAGAAGUAUGCUGUUCCCAAGGGAGUUCUCUGUGCAGACUGCAGCUACUGAAACCCUUUUCUCUAAGUUGUACACUGGAUGUGCUUUUGCAUUUUCUGCAUACCAGUGAUGGCAGACAACCUGUGGAAACACCUGCCCACGCAUCACAGCCGUGCCAAACCUGCCUUUGGCAGAUACUUCCCCACUCACACAGCAGAACCAGCUGCUACCAGAGUCCAGGUGCACCAAAUCCUCAUUCCAGUGAGUGAAAACCGAGGUAGGAAGGGAUCCCCGAAGAGGAGCAUUCCUUGAGACCAUCAACAGCAUUAAUUCAGUGCACUGGAGUCCUUGGAACUGGUAUCCUGGAACACCAUUGCCUAUCAAUUUUCUGAGGAUUCUCUUGACACCAGGAGAGCUGUUAUAUUUAGAUGCUUAUCUGCUUUUGACUGCAGUGCAGUGCUUGCGAAGAUGUCUUUCAUUUUGAGGCUUAACACAUUAAAUAUCACCUGAUCUGAAGAUGUUUGAGGGUGUAGAGCCUGUGGCAUAGAAUAAAUGUCUUGUCUAAAAAUAGCGUUACA